UUGGGCCGGCUGCUCAGCCUCCUGCGGCCCCGACCAGCCCCAACCGAGCUCCGGGCCUUCGUGGCUGAUGAGCCUGAGGACCUGGACACAGAGGACGAGGGCCUCAUCAGCUUUGAGGAGGAGCGCGCCCAGCUCUCCUUCAACACGGACACGCUCUGCUGACUGAGGAGCUGAGCCCCACAGGCACCUGUGGGCCAGAUGUCAGGGUGGCCAGGCCUGACCUGUGUCCCUCAGUGCCACCUGCCGGGCUGUGGAGAGGGAGGUUCAGGAGCAGGGGCUCCGCACCACCUCCAGCUGGUCUUCGGCCCUGCCCUGCAGUUUCCGCAGCUGUCCUCCCUGAUCGUGCCAAAGGCUGGCCCAGCCCUGGGCUGUGCACACCCUCACCCUGCUUUGCCUUAAAGCCUGGGGGUCUGGCCCGGCCCCUCAUCCUGCCCUGCUCUGGGUGCCCUUUGUCCACAGCGCCCUGCAGCCAGCCAGGCCACCGGGUUUCUCCAGACUGGGGGCUGCUGGCUGCCCUGGGGCUGGGGCAGCCUAGGGCCUGGGGCAGGUCUGCCUAUUUAUUUUGCUUUGAGAAGGGGCCCCUGGCUGGGCUGUCGGACAGUGUCCGUGUCCCUGGUGCAGGAAGGGAGAAGCUGGCCCUGGGGCCAGAGAGAGCCGGGCCCCUCCUUGCCCCCCCCACUGCCUCUGCAACACCCAGCUUGGCCCUGCCCCGCCCACCCGGGAAGCUGGACCUGUACAUUGCGCACAGAUGUUUGUUUUCAAUAAAUGAUGAAAACGCCCAUGGGAGCCUGUGCCUUUGGGGCCUGGGUCACCAGGUGGGGCUGCAGACGGGGAGACAGAGGAAGAGGCUGAGCAUCACUUCCUCCAUUGCCCCAUUCACACCACAGGUCUGAAGUGGGGUUCACAGGGCACUGACACGUCCCUCUGCCCCCACAUCCUGUCUGUCUUAGUCACUCUCCUGCAGGCGGGACAAAAUGCCAGGCACCUGCGGCCUUAGGAGAAGAGGUUUAUUUGGGCUCAGAUUCAGGGGGUUCAGUCUGCAGUCAGCUGGUGCCAAGGCAGAAGCAGUGUGGUGGAGGAGCCUGGUGGAAGGCAGCUGCUCACCUCGUGGCGGUCAGGAAGCAGAGAAGUGAGCACGGGGAUGGCAUUUUGUCCUUGUGGGUCAUACCCUAGUGACAAACUUCUGGCCCAGCCCUGCCUCCAUACACAAG
rnacentral:lncRNA from 1 species